rnacentral:lncRNA from 1 species
UGGGCGGAGGAGGAGGAAGAGGAGGAGGGGAAAGCGUUGGCAGGAGCUGGCUGGGUGCGGGGGGGACGCGAGCAGCGGCACGGUGCGCGCAGGCAGCGGCGGGCACGAGCCCCACGCCUGGAGGAGGAGGAGCCAGGCCCGAAAGGAGGGCUAACGAGGUUCUCGGCAACGCAGGGACGCCCCCCUACCCCCGCCCAGAUACCGGGUAACCGCCCACCGCCCGCCGCCCGCCGGGCACCUGCCAGGGCACAUCCCCAAGCGGCGGCGAGCGCCUCUCCCCGUGCCUACGCCGCGCCGGAGGAGCGGAGCCCACUCGCCGCCCGGGACUGCGCCCCGCGGCCGCCCUCAGGGACUCCCUGGAGGCCCCGAGGUUCCAGGGGGCUGCUGGUGGGUGCUGGUGCGGCUUCGGGGACGCGGUGUGUUUGUGCGGCCCUAGAUCCCCGGUACCUCUCCCUGCCGCCCGCCCCCCAGCGUGCCCUGGCUCCGGAGCGACGUGGCUGCCGAGGAGAGGCGAUAAAAUCCAAACGUGCAACUUGAACAACAACAAAAAGAGAGACAUUUUCCUCUUGGUACUGCAGAUAAGCAGCAGAAAAAUGCAUGUCACCUUGUUCAGCCCGAUGGAGCCCUUGCUGGUAGCAUGGGCCAUGACAAGACAGGACAGACUGGAGCCACUGGCCAGGACUGAAGGCUGAACACGACUCCAUUUCUCCAGGACAAGCUCCUCUACUCAGUGUUUCUCCAACUCUUCUCCAACUUUUUUUGAAAACUGAUAAUAACAAUAAACACUACCUGACAUUUGCAAAGAACCAGAAUUUUUUUUCUUUCAUUUUUCAUUUCAUUUGACCUACUCUAGGGAAGACAGAUAAAUUUACUCCCAGUUUACAGAGGAAGAAAUUGAGACAUGAAAAGAUGUAGUGAGACAGUGCAGGAUAUCUACCUGGAAGGAUUGAUAGGAGGAUGAAAUGGGAUUAGUAU